AGUGAACGCUGGCGGUAGGCCUAACACGUGCAAGUCGAACGGCAGCACAGUAAGGGCUUGCUCUUACGGGUGGCGAGUGGCGGACGGGUGAGGAAUACAUCGGAAUCUACUUUUUCGUGGGGGAUAACGUAGGGAAACUUACGCUAAUACCGCAUACGACCUACGGGUGAAAGCAGGGGAUCUUCGGACCUUGCGCGAUUGAAUGAGCCGAUGUCGGAUUAGCUAGUUGGCGGGGUAAAGGCCCACCAAGGCGACGAUCCGUAGCUGGUCUGAGAGGAUGAUCAGCCACACUGGAACUGAGACACGGUCCAGACUCCUACGGGAGGCAGCAGUGGGGAAUAUUGGACAAUGGGCGCAAGCCUGAUCCAGCCAUACCGCGUGGGUGAAGAAGGCCUUCGGGUUGUAAAGCCCUUUUGUUGGGAAAGAAAAGCAGCAGGUUAAUACCCCGCUGUUCUGACGGUACCCAAAGAAUAAGCACCGGCUAACUUCGUG
rnacentral:rRNA from 1 species